ensembl:lncRNA FBXO38-DT FBXO38 divergent transcript
GUGUCCAUAUUGUGUGUGUGAAGAAGCAUCGAAGCGCGGCAGCCAUGUUCAGCGUGGCAUUUCGGAAGGCUUGUCAGGGGUGGAGAAGCGGGGCGGGUUGCUGUUCUUUCACCUGACACUAAAGCGCCAUGCCGGAAGCACUGAGUCUGAUACGUCGGAACCAGUCUCCACCGUGUGGUUUGGUCUUGAUUUCCACUGGUACUCUGGGGUCUUGGAUAAGUCUCUGGACCUCGCCUUUGUCAUUUGCGAAGUCGAUAGGUUCCAAUAGAGAUUUUCCCAGAAUCAUUCAACUAAAAAUAGAGAACUUUUUUUUUUUGAGAGGAAGGACGGGGGCGCAGUUAAAGAUGUUAAUGUUAAGUCAUCCCUUCUGUGAUUUCGGGACAUUAUCUUUGCACGCCAUGUGAAGAUGUGCUUGCUUCCUUGUCACCUUCCGCCAUGAUUGUAAGUUUCCUGAGGCCUCCCAGGAAGCAGAAGCCUGUACAGCCCACAGAACCAUGACCUGAUGAAAUCUCUUUUCUUUAUAAAUUACCCAGUCUCAGGACAUUUCAAUUAUCCUCUGAAAUGGAAUAAUCCUCAUUGAAAGCAUGAUACUAGAAGCUCAUGAGGAUUAUUUUCAAAGAAAGCUGUGCAGAAGAGUUGGCUCAGCAGGCUUGGCAUGCUCAAACCAGCUCCUGGGAGAUAACCUACGAGCCCUUGGAAUAGUCUGUGCAAUAGGGGUCCUGGAGCACUCCAUAUCAGUUUGAUCUCUGGCUGGGGAGGAGCUGGAGAUUAAGUAUUUAAGAUCAGCCAUGUAGGUAUUCUGUGCCUACCUGACUGACCCCCAUUAAAGAGUCUGAACACCAAGUCUUGGGUGAGCUUCCCUGGUAAGCAAUACUUCAUGUGUGUUGUCAUGGUAGCAGGGAGAAUUAAGUAUCGCUUCUGUGAGUCCACUGGGAGAAGACAGCUGGAAACUUGUGCCUGCUCUCUCGGGGACUCCACCUCAUGCAUCUUUGGUCUUUGCUGAUUUUAAUUUGUAUCCUUUCAUUAUAAUAAACUGUUACC